rnacentral:lncRNA from 1 species
UCCGACACAAAAAGACACAAUGAACAGAUCUGAGAGUACUCGCAGUUAUCUGACAGCUAGUUCAAAGCCAUUAACAACUAAUAAAAAAAUCAUGCCUCUAAGACUAAGCAAUUAAUCCGUACACAUCCAACAUACAAUGGAUUUAGUGUAAAGACGUCAUAAACAGCCAGAGAAAAAACAUGACCUUGUGCAAUGCCAAGUUACAGGUAUCGACAGAUUGUAG